rnacentral:rRNA from 1 species
UACGAAGGGUGCAAGCGUUAAUCGGAAUUACUGGGCGUAAAGCGUGCGUAGGCGGUUGGCUAAGUCAGAUGUGAAAGCCCUGGGCUCAACCUGGGAAUGGCAUUUGAAACUGGCGAGCUAGAGUGUGAUAGAGGAUGGCGGAAUUCCCGAAGUAGAGGUGAAAUUCGUAGAUAUCGGGAGGAACACCGGUGGCGAAGGCGGCCAUCUGGACGGAUACUGACGCUGAGACGCGAAAGCGUGGGUAGCAAACAGG